UACUAAAAUAAGUAGUUUGAUUAUUUUCACUGAGCUAGAUAUUAUCCUCUAAUUAGGAGUAUAAUAUAGAGGUUGUAUAUAUAUAGAGUCUAUGAUGAAAAUCAUGUGUUUGUUGAUUUUGAGUUACACAUUUUCUGAGAUAAUUCUAUUAUGGGUUUUAGUUUCCAUUUUAAUGUUAAUAUGGUUAGAGAAGUGGCGAAUUUUAUAAAUACCAUUACCAAUAUUUGGUCAACAUUCAUAAGCUAACCACAUUUUUUCAAGCAAAAUGUCCAAUGCAAUAGUUUAUAUAACAUAAGUUUGUUUCAAAAGAAGCUGAUCUGAUUUGAAUAUUUGGUUAUGCAUAGUGAUUCUGGAAUUGGAAUGAUGAGAGAUGAAAUAAUUAGGAUCUUCACCAGCUUUUCUCAAGGUAAUGUAAUCAUUGUGUCAUCCGGCGGACUUGGUUCAGUGUUUUCAGUUGCAAGUCUUGGUAUGUCUCAAGCAAAACUGAGAAGUGCGACACACUUCAUGUUUUUGUUUAAAUAAGAUACACAUUUUGUUUAUCUAAUUGGUUUAGAAAACAGAUCUAUGUGUUUUACUAUGCGAUAGAUAUCUUUAUAAAUAAAGUAGAGUUGUGCUCUACACACAGCCCUCCACAUCAUCUGGAAAGAAUGGGAAUUUUUGGACACGUGUAACUUAAUUAAACCAGUCGGCAUCUGAAUUGAUUUCUGUGCAUUUAUUCCGGUUUAUUACAGUUUGGGAAUGGGUUUUUAAAAACAUUAUGACAAGCCCACUAUAACAUUAGGCUCUUCCUCUUCACACUUGCGUUCUUCGUAGACUAGCCAAAGAAAUUUUCAGAACCUAAGGCCCCGUUCCCAGAUCUCUGUAACGUCUCAAUCUUCCAUUAAUAAGUGCUUAACUCCAAGUUUUUGCGGAAGCAUUCAAUCGACCUCUUUGCAUUCUACAGUAACCGGCUCAAGCUUUAACUAUAAAUGUGUUUGUUGCCUGCGAUGAACCGUCACACCGCUACGAGAUCCGACAGGUCACUCUCUAGCAACUCCCUCAUAUGUAUCUUCAGUCUGAGUAGUUUUAAUGGUUUUGUGAUAUCAUGUGUUACCGUAAUCCCAUAAGUUCUUUAUCAGACAUACUUGGUGAGUUGAAUGCAAUCAGAAUCACAAUCACCGACCGUAUACCAGGGGCACAUCCUGUGAUGCUAACUCUGCGUCUUUAAAGUGGUGAAAACGUUUGUGUUAGUAUAUGCUUGAUUCAAUGGCUCUUGCGUUUCAUUUCAUACCAAAUUUGACAGCUAUGGGAAAGAGCCAAAAGUUAUAAUUGCCACGAGCGUGAAUCCUAAGAUAGUUGGUGGGGACUUAUUAACAGACCAAGAAAGCUUCAACAAUGCCAAGCAAUGGCUAAACCAAAUCGGCCGCUACACCAGUGACAAUGUGAACAAGCUACUGGUCGGGAACAAUUGUGAUCUCACUUCACAGAAAGUUGUAUACACUGAAACAACCAAGAUGAACAUGAGAUCCCAUUCUUGGAGACACGUGCCAAGAAUGCUACCAAUGUCGAAGAAUGCUACCGUGUUUGUCACAUUCGACGGUGAAAUGACGAAGCUGAUUAGUGUCCAUGCUGCAGAGGUCCCACAAAUUAUAGUUCUCACAAAGAAACAGAUGUGAUCCAAUUUCUUAUAAAUAAAGGUUCUCUUAAAGCUUGCUCAUCAACUCAUGUUUGUUGAAGUAAUCAAAACCUAGGUACAGCAGCGUGCUUAAUCCAUCGAAGAUUGCUUCAUAAAAAAGGCCCGAUAAAGACAAGACGACCAAAAGACCACUGAUUUUACGGACACCACAUUUAAGAUAUUUUCUUAACUACUCUGUUUCAUACACACUCUGGCGGCCACCCAAUUUCGAGUUUACGAAUAGUUAAAUUUCUUAAACAGAGCCCAACGAUAAAGUUCAUGUUGCCGGAGAUUGCUGUAAAACAAAUGAAUUAUUAGAAACAGAAGCACACAUGUAAAAAGCUACCAAAGCAUUUUUUUUUACAUGCAAUGAAAUAAAAGAUAAUAAUAUGGCCUUAGUUGUUUGAGUAUUUCUUUUUGCUUUGGGUUUUUGGUUUCAUCUAUAUAAUUAUUUUUCUCAAACUUGAUUUACAAGGUUAGAAUAAAUCACUAAAAUGUUAAUAAAUAUUUACUAUGAAAAAAAAUAUUGAUACCACAAGAGCAAAAAAAUAUUUUCGUUAUUUAAGUGAAACAUAAUAAAAGUGUUCUACAAUACCUUUUCUUUUCUGUUGACAAAUGAAAAGAAUACAUUUUUCGAUUAAAACUUAACCGAAAAACUCGAGAAGAUAAAACAUGCUAGAUUAGCAAAAAAAAAUGUGAUUUUAGUAUUUGAUAUUUUAAACAUAACAACAGUCUGUGGUGUUACACGAAAAGAAAAAAAAUUAUGUGGUAUUUACAAUGGAGACAAAGGCAGCAACAAUAAACUACGAAAGCAUAAGAAAAAGAUGUCAAUAGACACCAUAAAGCGAUGGAGUAGCCAACGAUAAAGAAGAAAGAAACACAUGAUAGUGUUGGGUGAAUUUCAGUAUUUGAUUAAGGAAUCUUUUGAAUAAAAACAUUGUUAGAGACACACUCAUAAUCAUGGAUCAUAAAAUACAUUAACAUGUACCAUAAUCAAGCAUAAAACUCUAACAUAUAAUUAAAAAAAAUUAAUAAAUACUACACAUAUAAUUUCAUGCAAGAUGAAAAAAAAAAUAUAUAAACUCAUGCAAAUACAACACAAGAGAAAGUAAUUUCAUUAAAAUAACUGAAACGAAUACUGAAAAUAAAAUAGUUAAAACUCAUAAAAUAUAGUUGAUAACAAAUAAAAAUUCAAACACUUAAAAUUUUUAAACAAAAGUCAAUUUUUAACAAAAUAAAUAUAUAUAAUCUAUUUAGAAAACAAAUUAUAUUUGUUAUAUUCAAUUUAAGUAAAUUUCAAAUGUUUUAUCAAAUUAAAACAUAUUUUAAUAUAAAAUAAUUUUAAUGCAAAUUCACCCGUCCGUAGGGCGGGCUAACCCCUAGUCCUUACUAAUAAAAAGGACCUUUGGAGGCUCCAUAGAGCGUCCACAUCAGCAAAAAAAACUUCUCCCAAAAAAUGACACGUGGCAUAAAAUAUAGUUUUACACUUUAAUAUUACUAAUUUUCGCAAAUUAUAAAUAAUAUGUAAACAUACAACAUAAAAAAUAGAAAAACUACAUUAAACAUAUGUAAGAUUACCAUUUUUCACUU